CUCAGGGUCUCAGCCCAACCGACUCCUGGUUGCCACGCCGGUUACCAUGGGUGCAGCCUGGGGACGCUGUCGUCUGUGGCCAUAGGGAGCUUUGAAAACUAAGCUGAUAAAUUUAAACAAGGUGGCGUUCAGAAGGAAGUCAUCAGGCAGCUUAAGCGAUGAAGUGACAUGAAAUACCUUCAGAGAGAGUGAGGGUGGAGCCUGUUGAGAACGCAUCCCAAGAGGCCAGACAGGAGACUGCUACCAAUAACCCAGACACAGGUGACGGGAUUGGAAUAAGAAAACAGUGACAACAGAUAUUCACCGACACCUUCCUGAUUUGAGGCUCUUUGCUGGGUACUAGGAAUAGAAGAUGAAUAAGGCUGGAUGAAUUAUCUUCAAGGAACUUGCAGUCUACUGAAGAAGACAGAGAUAGUACAGACGGGGUUGACCGCAUUAGCUAGGAUGGCC
rnacentral:lncRNA from 1 species